CACUUGUUUUGGUCCAAAUUAAUUCCCAGGAGUUACACGUUCUCUAUCAGGACACUUGUGGUUUUAUGUGGCUGCUUUACUCCGUUAACAUAAAAUUACAUUAUAUCACCUUUAGCUACCUCGAAAUCUACAAAAAAAAAGCUAAGAAAACAUGUUUUUACAACUUGAGUUGCCUCCGAUUGCAUGAGAUUUAGUUGCUGUUAGAUGGAUGUGUUCAUAAA